rnacentral:lncRNA from 1 species
UGCAUGGCAUUAUUUACCUUGUAGUAGCUCCAUUCAGUUUGACCACCAUUUUUGUAGGAGAGAGGGUUGUCACUACAGUAAGCAAGCUUGGCAGAGGAUAUAUAUAGAACUCCCAUAACUGGCCCAGCUGAGGUCGACAAGUAACAUGCAAAAGAAUUUAGAAGCUGCUCUUCUGGAACGGUUUCAAAGGUUUGUCGGAAGAUCUUCUCAUAUCCUCCUUCUGCAAGGACCUUAGUGCUCUGCGCAAUUCUUCCCAUAGCAGCAUCCGCAAAACUCGGAGCAGUUCUCACUGAUUGACAUAGAAGAUUAUAUGUGAGAUUCAUUAAAAAUUAACCAGAAUGAAAAAAAAAAAUCAAGAGAAAGGAGCAAGACACAUCGAAUCAAAGGAAGAACCAGUUAGAGUUCACACAUAAACACUCAGGUAAUUGGUCUAUGGCAAAGGGGUUCCUCCUUCCUUCACCUAAGCGUAAAUUAAAUCGUUUAAAUUUUCUAAACCCAAAUCCAAAGUUUCAGCCAGUCCUAGGUAUGAGAGCACUAUGCAGGCAUUAGACAUUUCCCUCAAACUCCAUUGCUCAAACAUUUAUCCAACUCACUAAGAACUUCAGUCGUUCAGAGUGAAACGACUUUAUGUGAUGAUGGAGUAUAAGAGAGAUCACUCAAAUAAACCUUGAACGAAAAAUUAACAAUCAAUCCAAUAAAGGAAGAUAUGAGUCAGAGUUCACACAAACAGUUUAAACCGUAAGCUAAAGUCUGUAAAUUUUCUCAAUCCCAAAAAGUCAAUUUCUUUAGCUAGUCAUCAGACAUUUCCCCUCAACAUCCGUUGCUUAAGUUCCCCUCAAAAGACUUUAUGAUUAAGCAACUACGAUUGGACUCUCUAUCCAUUACACGAAAAUCACAAAUAACCAUGCCCCAUUCUCAACCUAAUAACCUCAAAUUCAGCUCAUAAUUCACCAAAGGUUUUUGCUUUUGUUAAUGUACAUCCAAGGUAACAUAUUCCAAGUUACAAAGAAUCAACAUUGUGAUAUGCAUAUGAUAUCAAACGUGAGUGCAAACAUAACACAUUAAAGAUUUGAUUCAAAUGAAAUAAGUACAAAAACUCACACGUAAACAGUUUAAACGUAAACUAAAGAAAGUCAAAACUUUUUAGCUAUUCAUCAGACAUUUCACCUCAAACACAUUUGCUACCGUGAUCUUAGCUCGAUACAAAAGACUUUGCCCCAAUGUAAAUGUUCAUCCACAGGUAAUAGUAAUUCCAAUUUCCAAAAAGUCAACACCGUGAAAUAAAUAGGGAAGAGGGUUGUCACUACAGUAAGCAAGCUUGGCAGAGGAUAUAUAUAGAACUCCCAUAACUGGCCCAGCUGAGGUCGACAAGUAACAUGCAAAAGAAUUUAGAAGCUGCUCUUCUGGAACGGUCUCAAAGGUUUGUCGGAAGAUCUUCUCAUAUCCUCCUUCUGCAAGGACCUUAGUGCUCUGCGCAAUUCUUCCCAUAGCAGCAUCCGCAAAACUCGGAGCAGUUCUCACUGAUUGACAUAGAAGAUUAUAUGAGAGAUUCAUUAAAAAUUAACCAGAAUGAAUAAAAAA